AUUGAACGCUGGCGGCAGGCCUAACACAUGCAAGUCGAGCGGAUGAGAAGAGCUUGCUCUUCGAUUCAGCGGCGGACGGGUGAGUAAUGCCUAGGAAUCUGCCUGGUAGUGGGGGACAACGUUUCGAAAGGAACGCUAAUACCGCAUACGUCCUACGGGAGAAAGCAGGGGACCUUCGGGCCUUGCGCUAUCAGAUGAGCCUAGGUCGGAUUAGCUAGUUGGUGAGGUAAUGGCUCACCAAGGCGACGAUCCGUAACUGGCCUGAGAGGAUGAUCAGUCACACUGGAACUGAGACACGGUCCAGACUCCUACGGGAGGCAGCAGUGGGGAAUAUUGGACAAUGGGCGAAAGCCUGAUCCAGCCAUGCCGCGUGUGUGAAGAAGGUCUUCGGAUUGUAAAGCACUUUAAGUUGGGAGGAAGGGCAGUAAGUUAAUACCUUGCUGUUUUGACGUUACCGACAGAAUAAGCACCGGCUAACUCUGUGCCAGCCGCCGCAGUAACAC
rnacentral:rRNA from 1 species